rnacentral:rRNA from 1 species
UACGAAGGGUGCAAGCGUUAAUCGGAAUUACUGGGCGUAAAGCGUGCGUAGGCGGCUAUGUAAGACAGAUGUGAAAUCCCUGGGCUUAACCUAGGAACUGCAUUUGUGACUGCAUUGCUAGAGUGUGGUAGAGGGAGAUGGAAUUCCGCAUGUAGCAGUGAAAUGCGUAGAUAUCUGGAGGAACACCGGUGGCGAAGGCGGCAUCCUGGACCAACACUGACGCUGAUGAGCGAAAGCCAGGGGAGCAAACGGG